rnacentral:ncRNA from 1 species
GUAAACACGUAGAAAAAGAAAGUAAGAUUCUGUGGAAUUUCUAACAGAGAGCCCCGACAGCUGAAAAAGGGUGAAAGAAAACGAAUCUGAAAAUGGCUUUUGAGUGGGUGUUUCGAGAACGCAAGUUCUAGAAGCGCACGGAUGUCCCCGUUACUGAGACCCCAAUAUCACGCAACAGCGUCGCAUUGGAGUAGAGGCAUUCUUCGUAAGUCGGAUGCAAACUAAGGUGGUACCAUGUAAAUUUAUUACAUCCUUAAG